UACGAAGGGGGCUAGCGUUGUUCGGAAUCACUGGGCGUAAAGCGCACGUAGGCGGAUCUUUAAGUCAGGGGUGAAAUCCCGAGGCUCAACCUCGGAACUGCCCUUGAUACUGGAGAUCUUGAGUUCGGGAGAGGUGAGUGGAACUGCGAGUGUAGAGGUGAAAUUCGUAGAUAUUCGCAAGAACACCAGUGGCGAAGGCGGCUCACUGGCCCGAUACUGACGCUGAGGUGCGAAAGCGUGGGGAGCAAAC
rnacentral:rRNA from 1 species